UUUUUAGAGUCGGGCUGCCCGGUGAUAGUGAUUAAACGGUUGCGACGAGAGUUGUACUAAGGUAGCGCGAUAAGUUGUCUUUUAAUUGAAGAAUGGUAUGAAGGGUUUGACGCGGAACGAUUGUCUCUAAAGAAAAAAAUGAAGUUUCCUUUUAAAUGAAAAGGUUUAAGUAUAAUUAAAAGACGAGAAGACCCUGUCGAGCUUGAUUAGGUUAAGAACAAGUGCUAGGUUUAAAGAAAAUAAAGAAUAGGGAGGCUUUACUAAUAUUUAGACUUAGUAGUUUAUUAGCUGAAAAUUAGUUGGGGCAACUGGCUUUAAAAUAACAUAGCUAAGAAACUAAUGAUCCUUUUUGAAAGAGAAAUAGCAAAAGCUACCGCAGGGAUAACAGCGUAAUUUUUCUUGAGAAACCUUAUCGAGGGAAAAGUUUGCGACCUCGAUGUUGGAUUAGAAAAACUUCUUGGUGCAGAAGUCAAGAUACGUAAGACUGUUCGUCUUUUUAUUUUCUACAUGAUCUGAUUCCAGACCGGA
rnacentral:rRNA from 1 species